UACGUAGGGUGCGAGCGUUAAUCGGAAUUACUGGGCGUAAAGUGUGCGCAGGCGGCGUCGCAAGUCGAGUGUGAAAGCCCCGAGCUUAACUUGGGAAUUGCGCUCGGAACUACGGUGCUGGAGUAUGGCAGAGGAAGGUGGAAUUCCACGUGUAGCGGUGAAAUGCGUAGAGAUGUGGAGGAACACCGAUGGCGAAGGCAGCCUUCUGGGCCAAUACUGACGCUCAUGCACGAAAGCGUGGGGAGCAAACAGG
rnacentral:rRNA from 1 species